rnacentral:rRNA from 1 species
ACAGAGGGUGCAAGCGUUAAUCGGAAUGACUGGGCGUAAAGGGUGCGUAGGUGGUUAUUUAAGUUAGAUGUGAAAGCCCCGGGCUUAACCUGGGAACUGCAUCUAAUACUGAGUAGCUUGAGUAGAAUAGAGGGGAGUGGAAUUUCCGGUGUAGCGGUGGAAUGCGUAGAUAUCGGAAGGAACACCAGUGGCGAAGGCGGCUCCCUGGAUUCAUACUGACACUGAGGCACGAAAGCGUGGGGAGCAAACAGGAUUAGAUACCCUGGUAGUCCACGCCCUAAACGAUGAGAACUAGAUGUUAGGAGGGUUACCUCUUAGUAUCGCAGCUAACGCAUUAAGUUCUCCGCCUGGGGAGUACGGUCGCAAGAUUA